rnacentral:rRNA from 1 species
AUUGAACGCCGGCGGCAUGCCUUACACAUGCAAGUCGAACGGCAGCACGGGUGCUUGCACCUGGUGGCGAGUGGCGAACGGGUGAGGAAUACAUCGGAACGUACCUUAUCGUGGGGGAUAACGCAGCGAAAGCUGUGCUAAUACCGCAUACGCCCUGAUGGGGAAAGCGGGGGAUCGAAAGACCUCGCGCGAUUAGAGCGGCCGAUGCCUGAUUAGCGUGGUGGUGGGGUAAAAGCCCACCAAGGCGACGAUCAGUAGCUGGUCUGAGAGGACGAUCAGCCACACUGGGACUGAGACACGGCCCAGACUCCUACGGGAGGCAGCAGUGGGGAAUUUUGGACAAUGGGGGCAACCCUGAUCCAGCAAUGCCGCGUGAGUGAAGAAGGCCUUCGGGUUGUAAAGCUCUUUUGUCAGGGGAGAAACACCGGCUCUAACACAGUCCGGGAAUGACGGUACCUGAAGAAUAAGCACCGGCUAACUACGUGCCAGCCGCCGCCGUAA